rnacentral:tRNA from 1 species
AAGAGAAAUAAUGUUAUAAAAUAAAGCUGCUAACUUUAUAUUGGGCAUUUCAUAUAUGUCCUUCUCUUU